AUGACCUCGGAUCAGGUAGGGAUACCCGCUGAACUUAAGCAUAUCAAUAAGCGGANG
rnacentral:rRNA from 1 species